AAAACGACUCUCGGCAACGGAUAUCUCGGCUCUCGCAUCGAUGAAGAACGUAGCGAAAUGCGAUACUUGGUGUGAAUUGCAGAAUCCCGUGAACCCUGGAGUCUUUGAACCCAAGGUGCGCCCGAAGCCCUUAGGCCGAGGGCCCGCCUGCCUGGGCGUCCCCC
rnacentral:rRNA from 1 species